CACGCCCACCUUCCCAGGAUGCACCUGUCUCAUCCGGGACCUUGGCGCAUGCUCCCUUUGUGUACCCGGCGGCGUAUCCGUCCGGCACUGUCUCUCCUGCCGGAGGUUGAAGAAGUGGAAGAGUUCUGAAGGAAAUUUUUUGAAAAUCCAGCUUGCACCCAUGGAAGCUGGGUUGCACCUCAGUGAACCCGUCACAAAUGGACAGCAUCCCAAACUGCAGAGGCACUGAUCUCCCUGACCUUCUGCGGAUCCUGGCCGAGCAGCACCGCACGCUGUAGGACGGGGGCUGUUCGCCUUGUGACCUCCAGGCUGACCCAGAGCUGUGCUCUCUGCCGCUGUCCUGCGUUGCCAGAGAGGAUCGGACUGCACAGAGCCAACCCAGGACGGACCCACCUCCCACAUCCCACGUGUGGCUUCUGCUGAAUGCUCGUCAUCGCUUUCUCACCGUUAGAAAUCAGGGAUUGUUUGGGGUGCUAGAUCUUGGGGUAAUUCUACUUUAAAUUUUUUGAGGAACCGGGAUACUGUUUUCCAUUGCAGUUGUAUCAUUUUAUAUUUUACCCACAAUGCAUAAGCAUUCCAAUUUUUUAUCUCCUGUUAACACUUGUUAUUUCCUGACUUUGGGGUUUUGUUUUCCUUCUAAGAUUUUUCCUUUAAUUGGAGAUGCGGAGAGAGGAAGAGGGAGAGAGGAGAGAGCUCCCACCUGCAAAGGCUCUGGCUGGGCCGGAUGAAAGAUGGGAACUGGGAACUCAGUACAGGUAUUUCACAGGGCUGGCAGGAACCCAAGCACUGGAACCAUCACUGCCGCCUCCCAGGGUCUGCGUUAGCAGGAAGCUGGCAUCAGGAGCUGGAGCUGGGUAUGGAACCAGCACUUCGAGAGGGGCCCCAGGUGUCUCAACCAGCAGCUUAAUUGCUACACGAAUACCUGUCCAUUUUUUACAGUACCCUCUCUCUCGAUGUGAGGGGUCUCCCUGCGUUUUAAACACGAGCAAUUGUUGUCUUCACUGUUCCUCAAACGCACAUGCCGUGAGACAGCAUGUGAGACCCUGUGCCCUCCGCCCAGCACUUCUCACACGACUUUGGAGCCUGGCUUUCCCCCUCCUGUGCCCUGACUGCUGCCUGCAGCCGGAUGCCUCAUCUGUGUCUCUUCACACUCAGCCUCUAACGAGAGGCAUCCGGGAAGUGGUGAACUGGCCAAACACAGCCACCUGUCCUUCCUCCCCUCCCCUCCCCUCGCCGCCCCAGCUCUCAGGAAGCAGCGCUGCAAGGACUCUGGGACAGAGCCUGGUGCCCAGUGGCCCAGGGACAGCUGGGCAGGUUCCAUGGGCUCCUCCUACUUUUGCUUGGGGUUUCAUCAGCUGGGGCGGACAGAGCCAGGCAGACCCAUUCUUCUGGUUUUUUAAAAAACUUUUAUUUAAUAAAUAUAAAUUUCCAAAGUACAGCUUUUGGAUUACAGUGGCUUUUUCCCCCCAUAAUUUCCCUCCCACCUGCAACCCUCCCAUCUCCCGCUCCCUCUCCCAUUCCAUGCAUGUCAAGAUUCAUUUUCAAUUCUCUUUAUAUACAGAAGAUCCAUUUAUUAUAUAUCAAGAUUUCAACAGUUUGCACCCACACAGAAACACAAAGUGUAAAGUACUGUUUGAGUACUAGUUAUAGCAUUAAUUCACAUUGAACAACACAUCAAGGACAGAACUCCUACAUGAGGAGUAAGUGCACAGUGACUCCUGUUGUUGACUUAACAAAUUGACACUCUUGUUUAUGGUGUCAAUAAUCACCCAAGGCUCUUGUCAUGGGUUGCCAAGGCUAUAGAAGCCUUUUUGAGUUUGCCAACUCCGAUCUUAGUUAGACAAGGAAAUAGUCAAAGUGGAAGUUCUCUCCUCCCUUCAGAGAAAGGCACCUCCUUCUUUGAUGGCCCGUUCUUUCCACUGGGGUCUUACUCGCAGAGAUCUUUCAUUUAGGUUUUUUUGUUUUUGUUUUUUGUUUGUUUGUUUGUUUUUUGCCAGAGUGUCUUGGCUUUCCAUGCCUAAAAUACUCUCAUGGGCUCUUCAGCCAGAUCUGAAUGCCUUAAGGGCUGAUUCUGAGGCCAGAGUGCUGUUUAGGGCAUCUGCCAUUCUAUGAGUCUGCUGUGUAUCCCACUUCCCAUGUUGGAUUGUUCUCUCCUUUUUAAUUCUAUCAGUUAGUAUUAGCAGUCACUAGUCUUGUUUGUGUGAUCCCUUUGACUCUUAGUCCUAUCAUUAUGAUCAAUUGUGAACUGAAAUUGAUCACUUGGACUAGUGAGAUGGCAUUGGUACAUGCCACCUUGAUGGGAUUGAAUUGGAAUCCCCUGGCACGUUUCUAACUCUAUUAUUUGGGGCAAGUCAGCUUGAGCAUGUCCCAAAUUGUACAUCUCCUCCCUCUUUUAUUCCCAUUCUUAUAUUUAACAGGGAUCACUUUUCAGUUAAAUUUAAACACUUAAGAAUAAUUGUGUGUUAAUUAAAGAGUUCAACCAAUAGUAUUAAGUAGAACAAAAAAAUACUAAAAGGGAUAAAGUAUUAAGUUGUUCAUCAACAGUCAGGACAAAGGCUGAUUAAGUCACUGUUUCUGAUAGUGUCCUUUUCCCUUCAACAGGUUUCCUUUUUGGUGCUUGGUUAGUUGUCACCGAUCCGGGAGAACAUAUGAUAUUUGUCCCUCUGGGACUGGCUUAAUUCACCCAGCAUGUGUUCCGGAUUCCUCCAUUUUGUUGCAAAUGACCGGAUUUCGUUGUUUUUGACUGCUGUAUAGUAUUCUAUAGAGUACCUGUCCCAUAAUUUCUUUAUCCAGUCUACUGUUGAUGGGCAUUUAGGUUGCUUCCAGGUCUUAGCUAUUGUGAAUUGAGCUGCAAUAAACAUUGAGGUGCAGACAGCUUUUUUAUUUGCCAAUUUAAUUUCCUUUGGGUAAAUUCCAAGGAGUGGGAUGGCUGGGUCGAACGGUAGGGUUAUAUUCAGGUUUCUGAGGAAUCUCCAGACUGACUUCCAUAGUGGCUUUCCCAGUUUGCAUUCCCACCAACAGUGGGUUAGUGUCCCUUUUCCCCCACAUCCUCACCUGUUGUUGGUAGAUUUCUGCAUGUGAGCCAUUCUCACUGGGGUGAGGUGAAACCUCAUUGUGGUUUUGAUUUGCUCUCCCUGAUCACUAGUGAUCUUGAACAUUUUUUCAUGUGGCAGACCCAUUCUUGAGAAGCUGGCCCUAGGGGCUGCUGGAGGACCUCGAUGUGCCUGUUCGCGUUGUCUUUCAGAAAUUGAAAGGUGGAAGGGAAGUGGAGCUGCUACCUUGUUACACCUAAAACGCCAGUAGGUGCUACGAGCUUGUAGCCCAGCUCACCUGGUCAGCCUAGGACUGUCAGCAGCAGGCAGCCGCCACCAGUCCUGCUCCUGUUUCCCCGACUGCAGGCCCAGGUGCACACUCUGCGCUGCACUGACGGCCCUGGCUUCUCCUCUGAGGCACUUGCCGUGUGGAGGCUCGGAGGUGGGGGAAGCCAAGCAGGGGGCCUGGCACAGCAAGUUAGGCUUCCCGCACAUGAGCCACCGCUCCGAGCCCUAGCUGCUCUGCUUCCAGCCCAGCUUCCUUCCAGUGCACCUGGGCAGGCAGCGGAUGAUGGCCCAAGUGCUCGGGCCUCUGCCACCCACGUAAGAGAACAGGACGUGACUCCCGGUUUCAGCCUGGCGCAGACCUGGCUGUUGUAGCCAUGUGGGGAGUGAAUCAGAGAUAGAGGAGCUCUCUUUCUCCCUCUGUGUCGCUCAGCCUUUCAAUAACAUGCAUACCCACAGAGAUCUUUAAAAAGAGAGAGAGGCCAAGAAGGGCUCAGUUCACCCUCCAGAGGUCUCGCUGGCCCCUUCUCCCCCUCUUCGCGUCCAUCCAUCCUUUGCCACAGCCACCUCAGCACCAGACGCAGAAGCAGCAAUCAGAGAGGGAUUCUGCGAAGGAGAGUGGUAUUACCUGGGACCAGCAGUGCACUGCAGUGGGCAAACGCAUGCCGGAGUCAACUGUGGGUAAAGUAGAGACAAGGGGAAAUGUUUUGUGUUUUAAUUUGAGAAGCAGAGUGAGCAAGGAACACACACAUCCCAUCUGUUGGUUCAUUCUCCGAAUGCCUGCAAUGGCGGAGGGACUAAAGCCAGGAUCCGGGAACUCAAUCCAGGUUUCCCCUGCGGGUGGCAGGAACCCAUCACUUGAGCCAUCCCUGCUGCUCUCCAGGAUCUGUGUUAGCUGGAGGGAGGAGCCAGAGCGGGGAUUAGAACCCAGGUGCUAUGAUAUGAGAUGCAGACAUCUUAACCAGGGUCAUAGUCAAUAGGUGAAUGUGUGCCCCAAGGAAGGGUUGUUUUUAAAGGCAAAAAUGAGGGAUUGCAUUAGAUAUUUGAAACAACAGCCAAUGGGCACCAUGGUUAAUAAGCAGAGUGUCAUUAUUCCAAGGCUGGACACAGUUAGGUGGAUGCCCUUGCAGAAGUACUCUUUGUAGUAGGUCGGGGUGGCCUCUGUGAGGGCCAGGGGCUCAGGCAGAGUCUUUUGUGAGUUACCAUCGGCGCCGUGGGUGAGAGGCUUCCUGAGUCAACUCCCGCUGCACUGCUUGCUAGGUGACAGUGACUUCACGGUGAGCCCCUCCGCAGCAGCUGCUCUGACCUCUGUAAUUCCCACCGUCGCGGGAGGCCGGAUCCCUACAGGAAAUCCCAUAUCCUAUGCCAUUCCUUAUUCUGCUUCUCUGAUUGAGUGUCCAGUGACACUGGCCCAUUCACUGGGACCACGGAUGGGGACACCAAGUUGGGUCUUCCAGUCAGGACCUGUCGGUUCAGCUCUAGAGUCGUGGGAGGACAGGGCUAACUGAGCCCAUAAACCAUGGCCCAGGAGCAGAAGAGCCGUGUGGACUGGAGUCAGCAGGGCUGGAGUCGGGAGGGCUUCCUGGUGUGUGGCCUGGGGCAGGGGAGAGGGGGAGGACCAGGAGGAUGGCCACAGGUGGGCGUCAGGGAAUCGCUGUUGCCUGUCCCAGAGCUGCAUAGGACGGUCCAGUGAGCUGCCAAAAAUCCCGUCUCUCCUCCCCCGAGCAGUCUGCGCGCUGCCUGCUGUGCAGCGAGACAG